rnacentral:rRNA from 1 species
UACGAAGGGGGCUAGCGUUGCUCGGAAUCACUGGGCGUAAAGCGCACGUAGGCGGAUCUUUAAGUCAGGGGUGAAGUCCUGGAGCUCAACUCCAGAACUGCCUUUGAUACUGGGGAUCUCGAGUCCGGGAGAGGUGAGUGGAACUGCGAGUGUAGAGGUGAAAUUCGUAGAUAUUCGCAAGAACACCAGUGGCGAAGGCGGCUCACUGGCCCGGUACUGACGCUGAGGUGCGAAAGCGUGGGGAGCAAACAGG